ACGAUGAAGAGUUUGAUCCUGGCUCAGGAUGAACGCUAGCGGCAGGCCUAACACAUGCAAGUCGAACGGUAACAGGGAAAAGCUUGCUUUUCUGCUGACGAGUGGCGCACGGGUGCGUAACGCGUAUGCAAUCUGCCUUGUACUGGAGUAUAGCCCAGGGAAACUUGGAUUAAUCCUCCAUAGUCUAUUGAUUUGGCAUCA
rnacentral:ncRNA from 1 species